GCUAGUUGUUGGAGUCUUAAGGCUUCAGUGACGCAGAGAAAUCAUUAAGCAUACCGCCUGGGGAGUACGGUCGCAAGACUAAAACUCAAAGGAAUUGACGGGGACCCGCACAAGCGGUGGAGCAUGUUGUUUAAUUCGAAGCAACGCGAAGAACCUUACCCACACUUAACUAUCCUCUUGGGGCUUUCAGAGAUAAUCGCUUUCGGUUCGGCCGGGGAGUGAAUAGGUGCUGCAUGGCUGUCGUCAGCUCGUGUCGUGAGAUGUUAGGUUAAGUCCUGCAACGAGCGCAACCCUUAUCGUAUGUUGCCAUCAGGUUAUGCUGGGAACUCAUGCGAGACUGCCGGUGACAAGCCGGAGGAAGGCGGGGACGACGUCAAGUCAUCAUGGCCCUUACGUGUGGGGCUACAAACGUGCUACAAUGGUAACGACAAUGGGCAGCCACUCCGCGAGGAGGAGCUAAUCUCCAAACGUUAUCUCAGUUCGGAUUGUUCUCUGCAACUCGAGAGCAUGAAGUUGGAAUCGCUAGUAAUCGUGCGUCAGCAUGUCACGGUGAAUACGUUCCCGGGUCUUGUACACACCGCCCGUCACGUCAUGGGAGUUGGUUCUACCCGAAGGCCGUGUGCUAACCAGUUUACUGGAGGCAGCGGACCACGGUAGGGUCAGCGACUGGGACGAAGUCGUAACAAGGUAGCCG
rnacentral:rRNA from 1 species